rnacentral:rRNA from 1 species
UACGUAGGGGGCAAGCGUUGUCCGGAUUCAUUGGGCGUAAAGAGCGUGUAGGCGGCCAGGUAGGUCGGUUGUGAAAACUGGAGGCUUAACCUUCAGACGUCGAUGGAAACCGUGCGGCUAGAGUCCGGAAGAGGAGAAUGGAAUUCCUGGUGUAGCGGUGAAAUGCGCAGAUAUCAGGAAGAACACCCGUGGCUAAGGCGGUUCUCUAGUACGGUACUGACGCUGAGACGCGAAAGCGUGGGGAGCGAACAGG